UGGAAAGAACACACAAGUGUAUAAUUAUUAGGAACAACUAGGGAUAUGUUCCUCAAAAACAAGACGGAUGUUUGGUAGUUCAAUUGCAAAAUAUGUGUCAUAAAAAUCUUUUGUUUUGUAUCUUUGGGUUCUGUCUUAAAAAUGGCUCACUGAAGGUUAACAAAAGCAUGACUGACGGUGCUUUCACACCUAGACUUUUGUUUCAUAACCUGUCUCUUUCCCCAGUUAGCACGGUUCAUUUGGCAUAUGUGAAUCCAGCAAUCGCACUCGGAUCCGCGCCAAAACAAUCAUUCCGAGAUCAUUUGAAUGAGGUUGUCUCGGCUCAGUUGAAACCAACUCUGGAGCGAAUCAAUUGUAGUGAGAAAGCAAUACGAUCCUAGCCCAGUUAUUUCACUGUAUUUUAUAGAUAUGUAAUAGGCAUACGGCUAUAUGAAGCUAUAUAUACGGCUAUAUACAUCCCAAGUCUCCCGGAAGUUUUGUGAGUCUCCCGCAAAUGAGAGACUCCGGGAUGCCCGGAAACAAGUGAUGAUUUCCCGGAAAUUGCGCAUCUCCCUCCCGGUCCUCAAAUACAUCGCGUACACCUUGUCAAACACCACCAAACCACCCAUUCAUUCGGCUAAAGGCCAGAAACAACAAGCGGCAACAACUAGCGCUGACAAAACCCAACUGUGUUGUCACCUCAUGUCUUGUUUCGUCUGGACCAAAAAGCUCCCCGGGAACACACAAUAUGAACCAAAGCUGACUGAGACAAGAGAGUUUACUGUGGGCACCCAAAGAGGGCAGUAUCUUUUUUUUAUUGUUCACAACUGGAAACCAGAAUUUCAGACGUUCGCGAGCAAAACGUAAACAAAGCAGCAUUAAGUGCCAUUAUCGCAGUAAUUGUUUCUCACCAGAGAGGCAUUCUCUCCUGCAAAUAGGUUUGAUAAGCUAAUAAUCCAUAUAGUUUUCAAGUAUUUCAGAAAUACAGCCAGCCUCAUUGUGUUCCUUCUUGACUUGAAUUGUUUACUUGCUACGCCUCUUUACUGUCACAUUUGCGCUCUGAUUCCAUGAUGAAUAACCAGUCAGAGCACUCUCUUCAGCCAACGCAAGUCUACUUGCUGAAUCAAGCCAAACUCCCGUUAAGGCAAAUCAUUUCACUUUGUGGCCUUCUUUUAAAUGCCUCUCAGACAGUAGGCUCAGGUAUUCUGUUUAAAUGGGGAAACGUCAAAUUCUCCAAAAUUGCUUGCCAAGCUUACGAUUAAAUUUCAUUUUAGGAAUCCCCAAUGAAAUUAUACAACUGUAUCUUGAGGUUAAUUUUUAAACGUUCGAAUCACACAAAAUCUGCAGAACCUCACAUUUGAUGCCCUCCCCCGGAGAAUCGUCAGUCUCUAGCGAUCAGUGAUUGGCCCCUGUACUAGAAGGCAGAGCCUUAUUCACCAUAUUGACUAUUACAAAUUUUCCCAAUUCAUAAAUAUAGGAGUGACAUGUCUUGUGUAUUCUAGAGUUUUUAAUAAGGCUAACAAGCGUCGAAGUUAAUCUGAUGAAAAGUGACGUGUAGAACACACCAAACUAACUAGCUGGACCAAUGCUGGCCAAUGGACAAACCAAGCCCAACACCAGAUCGUGGACUUGGUGUGUCCUAGCCUUAGCAUGAACAUGGUCUUCUGAACUUGGGUUCACACCCAUGAAUCACACCGUUUUUCCACGUAAAAGGAGUAGUCAAGGGUAAAAAGUAUGGAAAACAAUCACAGCUCAAUCAAACUCGGCUUUAGUAAACAAUGAUGGAUGCAUUAUUAUGAGUCAUUUGAAGGUAUCUGUUAUUGCAGUACCAUUUAAGACCUCCUAGAGGCAGCAGUUAGAGACUGACUGCACUAGAUCUUUUACCCAAUAUCCUUUAUCUUUGCCACAUUUCUCUACACAUUUAUAAGAUAAAGUUAAGAAUGUGUCUAAUAAAAUAGUGCAUUUAUAAGGAACAGCAGAGUUACAGUAUCUACAAGCUCAUUGAGCACUGGUGUUCUUCAGUCCAAUUAAUAUCUGCGCAAUGGGAGUCAGCAGUGUGGGAGGCAGAGACUUCCUGCUUUGACUCUGCUACUGUUUACAGGAGCUGUGCUAUAGUUUGUUUGUCCUGACAGCAGAAGAGUGUGCCGGGAUCAUUACUGCUGACCCUGAGGAAAUAUUCCAGUCUCCACUGCUUCUUAAACUAAAGCCGUGACUUGCACAUGUACCUGACUGCAGAAGUGCUGAAGGAGGAGGAAGAGCGUGUUGAGAUAUAUGGAUAAUGUUUGGUGUCCAGCUUGUCGUCGAUAGCAUCCUGCAAGAUUCAAAAAGCAAUGAUGUGUGCCGGUGUAUAUGAUUGUACCUGCUCAACACGGCAUAGUUUGUCCACAGUUCCCUGGUAGUGCUUCAUGCAAUCCUCAG